rnacentral:lncRNA from 1 species
AGACAACUAUCCACAAAAGACCAAUAUGACACAGACAUUAACAACUAUAGGUCACCGUACGGCCUUCAACAAUGCGCAAAGCCCAUACCGCAUAGUCAGCUAUAAAAGGCCCCGAUAAGACAAUGUAAAACAAUUCAAACGAGAAAACUAACGGCCUUAUUUAUGUAAAAAAAUUUAACGAAAAACAAAUAUGUAACACAUAAACAAACGACAACCACUGAAUUACAGGC